rnacentral:rRNA from 1 species
GACGAACGCUGGCGGCGUGCUUAACACAUGCAAGUCGAGCGGUAAGGCCCUUUCGGGGGUACACGAGCGGCGAACGGGUGAGUAACACGUGGGUGACCUGCCCUCAGCUCUGGGAUAAGCCUGGGAAACCGGGUCUAAUACUGGAUAUGACUCCAUGACGCAUGUUGUGGGGUGGAAAGCCUUGUGCGGCUGAGGAUGGGCCCGCGGCCUAUCAGCUUGUUGGUGGGGUGAGGCCUACCAAGGCGACGACGGGUAGCCGGCCUGAGAGGCGACCGGCCACACUGGGACUGAGACACGGCCCAGACUCCUACGGGAGGCAGCAGUGGGGAAUCUUGCGCAAUGGGCGAAAGCCUGACGCAGCGACG